rnacentral:lncRNA from 1 species
GGAACAUCUGCUUUAGUAACUGGUGAGUUGGUGUGUGCUAGCUUUUCAUUGCUGUGUCAAACUAACUGAGGAAAACCAGGUCGAGGAGUAAAGAUUCACUGGGGCUCCUUUUCAGAGGUUUCAGUCUGUGGUCGGCCAGCUCCAUUGUUUUGGGCCUGCAGUGAUGCACAUCAUGGCGGGAGGCUUUGGUGAAGCAGAGGCGCUCACCUUAUGCGGGGAAGCAGAGAAGGGGCCAGGCACAAGAUACGUCCUUCUAGGGCAUGUCCCAGUGACCUCCCUCCUCCAACUAGGCCCCGUCUCCCACAGUCUCCACCAUCUCCCAACAGGAUCGAUCCACUGGUGAGGCUGGUGUCCUCGUCAUCCAGCGCUCCCCACAGCCCCACCUCUGAGCCUGACUGAACGCGGACCCCACCUCCCACGGGAGACUUUGGGGAUGUUCCAGGCCCAACCGUAGAGUUCUCUUGGAGAAGGGAAAUUGGGACAUGGUAUCACACCGUCCACUGUGGAAGCAUUCCUUCUGGCUGAGCCCUCUGUUGGAAGGAGGACACGGUGCCUAGCCCCCCACAGGUUUUCCUGUCAAGGAAGGUGAGCCAGGAGGACGGCACGUCACUUUGUGAGACCCUCUCUCAAAAUGAAACAGAAGGAGGCCUGGAGAGUGUGACUCAGUGCAGACUGCCCUCAGCUCAAUCCCCGUCACCGUGAAAACAAAACUGAGGAGGCAGCGAGCUCUCGGGUCACUGAGACUGACGGAAGCGCAGUGUAAGUUGACCCAUGUGGCCACUGGGGCCCAGUUCUGGACCCUCCUCGCCCUCCACGUUCCAUGACCACGAGUUGAGUGUGUGUGUGUGGUUGUGUCUGUAGACAUGAUCCUAAGCUAGAGCUGGUAUAUAUUUGGUCCAGGGAUGGAACUCGGGGCGUCGACCCCUGAGCCACACCCCAGCCCUGUCUUGUAUCUUAUUUAGAGACAGGGCCUCACUGAGGUGCUUGGCCUCUUGCUGAGGCUGGCUCUGAACUGCCAUCCUCCUGCCUAAGCCUCCCGAGCUCCUGGAUUACAGGGCUCCGCUGCGCCAAGCUGGAUUCAUACACUUGUAAUCACUCUGUAAGAGGUCACUGGAAAUGCCACUUGCUAGAUGUCC